GUCUACUGCCACACCACCCUGAAUGUACCUGAUCUUGGCUGAUGUGGGUAGCUAAGCAGGGUCGGGCCUGGUUAGUACUUGGAUGGGAGGAAAUGACAGGUUCUGUAUUAA
rnacentral:rRNA from 1 species